GAGGCCUAACACAUGCAAGUCGAACGGGAUUCAGUAGCUUGCUCUGAUGAGAGUGGCGCAGGGCGAGUAACGCGUAUGCAACCUACCUCUUACAGGGGGAUAGCCCGGAGAAAUCCGGAUUAAUAUCCCAUGGCAUUUAUUGUCCGCAUGGAUAGUAAAUUAAAGAUUUAUCGGUAAGAGAUGGGCAUGCGUGACAUUAGUUUGUUGGUGAGGUAACGGCUCACCAAGACUACGAUGUCUAGGGGUUCUGAGAGGAUGAUCCCCCACACUGGUACUGAGACACGGACCAGACUCCUACGGGAGGCAGCAGUGAGGAAUAUUGGUCAAUGGGCGCAAGCCUGAACCAGCCAUCCCGCGUGAAGGAAGACGGCCCUAUGGGUUGUAAACUUCUUUUCUGCACCAAGAAUGGGCCUUACGUGUAAGGUUUUGACGGUAGUGCAGGAAUAAGCAUCGGCUAACUCCGUGCCAGCAGCCGCGGUAAUACGGAGGAUGCAAGCGUUAUCCGGAUUCAUUGGGUUUAAAGGGUACGUAGGUGGCCCAGUAAGUCAGUGGUGAAAUCCUGCCGCUUAACGGUAGAACUGCCAUUGAUACUGCUGGGCUUGAGUACAGUUGAGGUAGGCGGAAUGUGUAGUGUAGCGGUGAAAUGCUUAGAUAUUACACAGAACCCCGAUUGCGAAGGCAGCUUACUGAACUGUAACUGACACUGAGGUACGAAAGCGUGGGGAGCGAACAGGAUUAGAUACCCUGGUAGUCCAUGCCGUAAACGAUGCUCACUCGCUGUAUGCGAUACACAGUAUGCGGCCAAGCGAAAGUAUUAAGUGAGCCACCUGGGGAGUACGUUGGCAACAGUGAAACUCAAAGGAAUUGACGGGGGCCCGCACAAGCGGAGGAACAUGUGGUUUAAUUCGAUGAUACGCGAGGAACCUUACCUGGGCUUAAAUGCAGGACGACAGGCGUCGAAAGAUGCUUUUCUUCGGACGGCUUGCAAGGUGCUGCAUGGUUGUCGUCAGCUCGUGCCGUGAGGUGUCGGGUUAAGUCCCAUAACGAGCGCAACCCUUACCGUUAGUUACCAUCAGGUCAUGCUGGGGACUCUAGCGGGACUGCCACCGUAAGGGGAAAAG
rnacentral:rRNA from 1 species